UCAAUUCCGCAAUUUCAAUGUUUCAACAAUAUUUUGUACGUUUCAUGGUGGGCGCGAAAGGGUUAAGAAAUCAUACAUAGUGUAAGUAUCACCAUGUAUUCGCUUUAUACAGUCUUUAUAGGGCUGUUUUAGUUUAUUGUUCAAACAUCUUGAAUACAGCUAGUUAGUACAGUGACAUUUUGUAUCCAUUCAACAUUCUUCUGACUUUCUUAACAAAAUUAUAAAAAAAAAAUUCUUUGUCCAGUGAUUACAUUCACCUGCAGUUCGUGACUAUUGCAAUCAGUAAAAUAUCUAUUGUUGCGCGAAAUCAAUUGGCACAAUGUUUGACUCUCUAAAUUUAGGUAUUUAAAAAUCAAUAAAAUAAAAUUUUGCAUUUCCUCUUUACAAAAUCAUUGUGAAGAUAUAACUCAGUAGGGUGAAAUGAAAUGUGAUCUAUAGUGCACGAUCGCCUAUCUUCGUAUGAGCCUCAAUGGCACCACUGUGUGUGCAGAAAGUAACGGCGGUGUUAUUGGUUCCACAUCUUAUCGUAUGCAAUUUAUACAUAACACUCUCCAUAUUCACACUACCACGGUAUUCAUGUGCAGUAGAUUGUGGCGGGAGAAUUGUGAUCGCCAAUCAAAGACAUUAGCAGAUUAGUGGGGAUCGUUUGUAGUAUUUUUUGUGUAUUUUACCUCUAACUACCAUUAUGCACCGCGACAUGCCAUUGCGAUCGAAUGUUGGAAUAAUUGACAUCAAAUGACUCAAUUUUCACGUCCUUAAUUGCAAUACAGACUGUAUAUAGUUGAUGAAGCGUGAGGGUAUUUAAAUAUGUAGGUAUGUGAUUUUAAAAUUAUCACAGAAUCAAACUCUAAUGAGCUGAUUUGUUUUUCUAGGUGUCUCUCAGUCAAUCAGAGAGUGGUUCAUGCACAUUAAAAGACGGUCAAAAAUCAUAAUUUGCAAAUUAUAUAGAAUUUCUUCGACAUCACUUGACCUCAUACGUAUUUAAUUUUUUUUACAAAUUUGAAAAAAUUAGAAAAGUAAAUGAUAAAUGCCAAAAAACGAACACAUAAAGAACAAAAAAAAAAGAAUUUAGAAUUUUCAAUCUAUCGAAAAAUUAUUUUAAAAAGAUUUUAUCCACUUUUAAUGGAAUCUAAACCAUAAAUGAAAUAAGACAAUCUGUGGCAAUCACAUUAAAUUUCACGCAAAAUAUUCACUUUGCCGAGAUAAAUAAGUGACAUUUUUCAUGCCAAUUUCACAUGAGGAAUUUCGACGUGUCUUUGAGAUAGUGGCUUUGGAAAUCUUCCAUUUCCAUCGGCAAACAUUUACCAAAUAACAUUCCUAGCAAUUUGCAACAGUUUCGCAUUCAACACGCAUCCUGAAGAUGGUGAAGUACCUACAUAAAUCAUCUAAAAUUAAAUCAAAUUUGGGUUUUUCCUAUCACGCCCUUCGCGGGAGGAAAGUGUCAGCAAAUAAAGGUAAAUUGAUAACAACUCAGUGAUCAUGAGUGAUUGCUGAAUAGUGACAUUCUUGAACCGUAUGAAUUAUCGCGUUCUCCGCGACAAUAAAAUCGCAUACAGCUGAGACUUAUCAUAUCAAACACACCCUAUAUCUCCAUUGACGUCAAUAGGAGCUCCACUCUGCCGUGGCCCGAUAGCGAACAAUUGUGUGUGCGUUUGUUUAAUAAUUUGGAACACGAUAAAGUGAAAUUACGACUUGAUUGUCAUUGGGAUUGUUGUACUUAAUUUAUGUACUUGUUGUAUCAAUAUUAUGGAUCAUUAAACAAUGUUUGAUCAUUAAAAAAUAAAUUUAGAGGUCGAUUCUGUUAAAAAUCUUUCCUUCCUUACAAUUAAAAAAAUUGAUGUAAAAUUUUGACAGUUGAUCUUUUUAAAAUCUCUCUAUUGUCGCGAGCUAAAAAAAAGAUUUUCUCUUCUAGAAUUCUUUCAAAACUGAACUUUCCGACUACAAAAAUAGAAACGACUGUUAAUAUAUCUUUAAGAAACUAAAAUUAUUUCCCUACAAGGUAUCUUUUAUAAUUCAUUUCUUGUUGAUAAACAUAAAGAUCACAGAAAAUGUAUUUUUAAAUCAAUGUUUAAAAAAGCAAACUAAAUGAUUAAGUAAUUUACGUCAUUUCAUGCGUCGAUAACUUUUUGCUCCAGAAUCUGCAUAUGAGAAAAAAUAAUCUAAAAAUAAAUUUAAAAUAAUCAUCAUCAUCACUAUGGAACUUUUGAAAGGCGCUCAACAACUAGGGCUAUAUGCGCCUUAUCGGUAUAUUAACGGGGCCCCCCCGAAUGGUUAGGUAGAGAAUAAAGAGUCUAAUGAGUCAUUAUUUGCGGAAUUGAUUAAAUCUCACUUUUUAGUCCACUAUCUUCAAUGAAGUUCAACACUCUUCUUAUGUCACUCUCACUACAACCGUCACCAAUUGCCGAAAUCUUGAUGCCCCCAAGGGCAUUUCUGGUAUUAGAGAAUUUCAAGCAUAAAUCGAGACAUAAAUUACGUAAUAAAUUGAGACAUCAUAUAGUCUUCUACUCUGUGGCUAUAAAAUAAUCUCAUUCAGGUGAACUUGGGAGCUGAAGUGCGUGAAUAAUGUGCUCGUCAUGUUCAUGUCGUCGCUCAAUGUUCACAAGAAUCCCGGCAUGUAGGGCUUUUCUUUUGCCGGCUCAAAUGAAACCAUCUUUGAACAAAUACUUUACCACGACGGGAUACCAGAAAAUAAAACCCUCAUCACGCCUUUAUUUUUAUUUCUUAAUUUAAAUUUUUAUAUGUUUGGGUCAAAAAACAAACUCCAGAAGGCGGACACGAUUUUCUCAAUUUUGAGAUCAGUGAUCUUUUGGGCGGGCAUGAGAAUAUGUUGUAAGAAUUUCACAUUGCUUAAUCGAUAUGCAAUCACCCCAUUAGCAAGAUUGGCUCGCAAAAAAAUAACAAUUUUCAGCACCAACUCAUUUUCAUGGUAAGAAAUAAUAAUUACAAAUCGGUGUAAAGAAAAAUGAACGGUGCUAACUAUACGUGGGAUUUUAUUCCGCGGUGCGAUAGUGGUGCAUGAUUGCAGAGUGCAUAUUGGUGAAAGAAUUAGAAGGGGCUGGGACGUAUUUAUUCAAUCGCUACCUUCCAUCUCUUAACCACAACAAGAGGCUAGCACGAGUCACAUUACAAAUUAAUGACUUGGAUGCCGCCUUUUUUGCGCAACCCACCGUUGCAGGACGAUGGUGUGGAAAAUGCAAUUCAAUGACCAUCGUUAUGAUGGAAUAUGUACUGCAUUAAAUGCUGGCGACUCUUAAUUGCCUGGAAUUUCAUAAUUAAUAAACAAAUUUAAUUUAACUACGAUCAACACCGAACAGGCGAAUAUCUCAAAUAAAUCACUGUCAAUGCUAAUAAAUCGCUGUUCAUUACUCUCAGAUUAAAGAAAACAUGUUCUUAGUUUUUUUCUUUGCAUGUGCGAUGGGAUUUAUUUACUAACUUGGCGCUAGUGCAUCCUGCUGACCAAUACCCUAAUUUUCGCGUCGCUUCAUCAAUACAGGAAAGAUACAAAUUACAAAAGAAAUCACAUAACGUUCGUUAAACGAAAACUCACUUCAGUGUUUUAUUUAUAAAGCAAAAAGGCUCUUCUGAUUAUUCAGAAAAAAAAAUGCAAAAUCUCUAUUGUAUAAAAAAAAAUUCUACUACAUAUAAUAACCUUAUUUCAUAUAAUAAAAUUUUAUAUAAAGCAAAUUGAUUUUUGGUAGUGAAAAGCUCAACAUAUUGGAAAAAGAUCACUUGAAUCUCUUUAUGAUCUUAAGGAUCACUACCAGCUUGAUCUUCAUUUAAUCACAUAACUAUCUGUUUCACAAGCUAUAGGUAAGUACUUACUUAAUUUACUUAUUUUGAUUUGUUACAAUUAGAUCUUUUUGAUCGCAAAUGGCUGAGAGUGAUGCUUAAAGAGCUUCUUAUAAAGCGCAUGAACAAUUUUAGUUUGAUCGCAAACCCCAUGAUCGUAACUUCCACCGCACCGCCAGAAAGUAUGCAUUAAUGGUAAUAUUUAAAAUAGUAACCGAAACUAUAUGUAUUCAAAUUUUUAUUUUUAUUUUUUUGUGAUGAUUCACAUACAUUUCACACAUUGUGUGCGAUUUAUUCACAAAAUUGUAAAAACAACACUAGUUAAGAAUAGAAAAUCAACAAACGAAUAGCAGACGCAACAAGUGUGGUUGAAAUUGUCAUAUAAAACAAUUAAGGUCAAUGUUUAAUUUUAUGAGUAAUCAAUUAAAUAUUUUAUGAACUCUUCAUCGGCAAAUUUAUUGCUCUCUUUGUCUUCCUAUCCAGGCGUACUAUCAGUGUUAAGCAGUUUACGUAAAUCAACUUUUGUAGGUACAAGACAUCAGUAAAUUACAAAACCAUUUUCAGUUAUCAGCGUGCAUCGACUUUUGUUCUACAUGGACUAGACGCACAUUAAGUACAAGCCAUUGACGCAAAUUCUUCAGAAAUACAUCAGUCAGAUCGAAAUCGGUUCAGCAAAUGGGGUGUGACAAAAAAUUAUAAAAGAACUUACACGAUUCAUUUGUAAUUUGAUUAAUGGAUGUAUGUGUAUAGGUAUGUAUAUUUUUUCUAAUAAGUAGAAUUCACCUAUAACAAAAAAAAUCAUUAAUUAAGAUGAACAAAUGCGGAUUUACUAGGAAGAAUAAUAUUUUUGUUUUAAUCGUGUGGACUUACUGAUUGAAAUUUCAGAAGAUCUUUUGAAAAAAAUCAAACAGAAUUUUAUCUGCAAAUUAGGAAGAUCAUGGAUGAUUGAGGAGAUGGAAUAAAAAAAAGCCAUUAAAUUGAGACAAUAUUUAAAAAAAAAAAAUGACUGAAAAAACGAUAUGCUUCAUUGUGGCACUCUUGGGAUGUAUUAAAGACCCAUCGUAACUCAGUUUGUCAUCGAACUUUUCAAAGAGUGGAAUGACGCAAAUGAAGACCAUGAACACAAAAGAGCACACUGUUUACCGUCAGAAUCGCCUUCCUCCCACCACACCUUGCAAUAAAUUUCACCUCGCCAACGUGCCACGGUUCUAAUUGAUAAAGUGCUGAUGAUCUCGUUCGUAAAAAAAAGAGAUUCAAGGAUCACAGAAAUGAAAAAUUUUCCACUGUCAUGGUCGUAUAUCAUGGAAUAUUUUAUGGAAAUACAUCUCUUAAAUUGCCUUCUUUUGUUAUUAUACUAAGAAUCAACAAUACAACGAAGGAAUUCUACUUUUCUUCUUAUUUUACAUGAAUUGCAUGAGAAGAGAAAGAACAAUGAAGAUGGAUCAUUAAAAAAGUGAACUCAUUUCAAAAUUAACUAAUUAUUUGAAACUAAAACUACAAUUUUUAUUUCCCUCAUUUUACUUGCAAGUUGAAAGAAUGAUGAAAAUAAAUUUUCCAUGAGAGCGUGAAGAGCGAGUAAUAAUAGGAUAUUUAGCCACUACAUACUGUUCCCUAAUAUGUACUCAACUUUUAUCGCACAUAGUGAAAAGUGCAAUUUCUACUUGGCACGUUUCAUAGAACUCAAUCUUCCUAAAGCACACAAUUCCAACUGCAUGACGAUAUUUUCAUGCCACUCAAGAGCGUAAUCAUGGAGAUAAGAAAUCAGUGUUGAAUUUUCAUCAACUGAUAAGGCUACGUCUUGUAUUGUUCCACAAGAGGCAUUAGUGUAAAUUUACGUCCAGAACUUUAAGCUUCCAUAAACGUAUGAGACAUAUUCACAUUAUGUGGAGGAAGGGUGAUUGGACAGAAAACAAUGGUGCCAUGGUAUUCUCACAUCAUCUCUUCCUGCGGGAAUUAUUACAUCCACAAUGCAGAGAUAGCCAUCAAUCCGGGAAGUGACAAUAGACAGGAGGAGGAGGGAUGGAAAUCUUCAAAUAGGUAGCAUCGCAGUGAAGAGCACGCAGAGAAAACAUGAAAAAUUUCAGACAGAAUCAAGCCACAGUGUUUUCUUGUAAAAUUAUUUUAUUUAUUUCUCAAUUAAAAAUUCAUAUAACA